rnacentral:rRNA from 1 species
UAGGGAAUCUUCCACAAUGGACGAAAGUCUGAUGGAGCAACGCCGCGUGAGUGAAGAAGGUUUUCGGAUCGUAAAGCUCUGUUGUUGGUGAAGAAGGAUAGAGGCAGUAACUGGUCUUUAUUUGACGGUAAUCAACCAGAAAGUCACGGCUAACUACGUGCCAGCAGCCGCGGUAAUACGUAGGUGGCAAGCGUUGUCCGGAUUUAUUGGGCGUAAAGCGAGCGCAGGCGGAAUGAUAAGUCUGAUGUGAAAGCCCACGGCUCAACCGUGGAACUGCAUCGGAAACUGUCAUUCUUGAGUGCAGAAGAGGAGAGUGGAACUCCAUGUGUAGCGGUGGAAUGCGUAGAUAUAUGGAAGAACACCAGUGGCGAAGGCGGCUCUCUGGCUCUGCAACUGACGCUGAGGCUCGAAAGCAUGGGUAGCGAACAGGAUUAGAUACCCUGGUAGUCCAUGCCGUAAACGAUGAGCGCUAGGUGUUGGGGACUUUCCGGUCCUCAGUGCCGCAGCAAACGCAUUAAGCGCUCCGCCUGGGGAGUACGACCGCAAGGUUGAAACG